rnacentral:rRNA from 1 species
AUUGAACGCUGGCGGCAGGCCUAACACAUGCAAGUCGAACGAGUGGCGGACGGGUGAGGAAUGUCUGGGAAACUGCCCGAUGGAGGGGGAUAACUACUGGAAACGGUAGCUAAUACCGCAUACCAUCGGAUGUGCCCAGAUGGGAUUAGCUAGUAGGUGGGUGAAAGGCCCACCUAGGCGACGAUCCCUCGCUGGUCUGAGAGGAUGACCAGCCACACUUGAACUGAGACACGGUCCAGACUCCUACGGGAGGCAGCAGUGGGGAAUAUUGCACAAUGGGCGCAAGCCUGAUGCAGCCAUGCCGCGUGUAUGAAGAAGGCCUUCGGGUUGUAAAGUACUUUCAGCGGGGAGGCGUUACCCGCAGAAGAAGCACCGGCUAACUCCGUGCCAGCAGCCGCGGUUAAUUC